GAUGAAGAACGUAGCGAAAUGCGAUACUUGGUGUGAAUUGCAGAAUCCCGUGAACCAUCGAGUCUUUGAACGCAAGUUGCGCCCGAAGCCAUUAGGCCGAGGGCACGCCUGCCUGGGCGUCACACGUCGUUGCCCCCCAUCUACUCCUUCGGGAUUGCGGGGGGCGGAUGAUGGCCUCCCGUGCGCCUCGUCGCGCGGUUGGCAUAAAUGCCAAGUCCUCGGCGACGCACGCCACGACAGUCGGUGGUUGCGAAACCUCGGUUGCCCGUCGUGUGCGGUCGUCGCGCAUCGAGGGCUCGAAAAAAUUGCCGGGCUCCGGCUCGGCUUUCAACGCGACCCCAGGUCAGGCGGGGUUACCCGCUGAAUUUAAGCAUAUCAAUAAGCGGAGGA
rnacentral:misc_RNA from 1 species